rnacentral:rRNA from 1 species
UUAGUGGAAGCGUCUGGAAAGGCGCGCGAUACAGGGUGACAGCCCCGUACACAAAAGCGCAURUGCUGUGAGCUCGAUGAGUAGGGCGGGACACGUGGUAUCCUGUCUGAAUAUGGGGGGACCAUCCUCCAAGGCUAAAUACUCCUGACUGACCGAUAGUGAACCAGUACCGUGAGGGAAAGGCGAAAAGAACCCCGGCGAGGGGAGUGAAAAAGAACCUGAAACCGUGUACGUACAAGCAGUGGGAGCACCCUUUGGGGUGUGACUGCGUACCUUUUGUAUAAUGGGUCAGCGACUUAUAUUCUGUAGCAAGGUUAACCGWAUAGGGGAGCCGGAGGGAAACCGAGUCUUAAYYGGGCGUUAAGUUGCAGGGUAUAGACCCGAAACCCGGUGAUCUAGCCAUGGGCAGGUUGAAGGUUGGGUAACACUAACUGGAGGACCGAACCGACUAAUGUUGAAAAAUUAGCGGAUGACCUGUGGCUGGGGGUGAAAGGCCAAUCAAACCGGGAGAUAGCUGGUUCUCCCCGAAAGCUAUUUAGGUAGCGCCUCGUGAAUU